UACGAAGGGGGCUAGCGUUGCUCGGAAUCACUGGGCGUAAAGCGCACGUAGGCGGCUUUUUAAGUCAGAGGUGAAAUCCUGGAGCUCAACUCCAGAACUGCCUUUGAUACUGGAGAGCUUGAGUCCGGGAGAGGUGAGUGGAACUGCGAGUGUAGAGGUGAAAUUCGUAGAUAUUCGCAAGAACACCAGUGGCGAAGGCGGCUCACUGGGACGGUACUGACGCUAAGGCGCGAAAGCGUGGGGAGCGAACAGG
rnacentral:rRNA from 1 species